UACGAGGGGGGCAAGCGUUGUUCGGAAUUAUUGGGCGUAAAGGGCGCGUAGGCGGUGCGGUAAGACUGUGGUGAAAUCUUCGGGCUCAACUCGAAGCCUGCCGCGGUGACUGCCGUGCUCGAGUGUGGGAGAGGUGAGUGGAAUUCCCGGUGUAGCGGUGAAAUGCGUAGAUAUCGGGGAGGAACACCUGUGGCGAAAAGCGGCUCACUG
rnacentral:rRNA from 1 species